rnacentral:rRNA from 1 species
CGGUAAGUUGGAAGUCGUACCACGUAUUCUCCCAGUUGUCAGCGUUUUGCUCUCCUCGACGGUUGAGUAUUUGUAUUCUUUUUAUUAGCUCGCCUGCUUCGCUUGUGAACCGAGGCAAUGGGGAGUAUGACUUUAAAACAUAAGUUUGCAAGGGAUAUAUUAAUAGCUCUAGGAUCGGCCUGUACUGUUUUAUUUAGGUGGUGAGGUGAUGGCUCGCCAAGACGAUGACAUUACGCUGUUUUGCCGGAUGCUCCCCCUGUGAAACUGACACAUUGUCCAGAGUCCUAGCGGAGGAAGGAUGGGGAAUAUUGCACAAUGGGCGAAACCCUGAUGGCGCGACGCCGCCUGAAGGAUGGCAGGUUUAAGUGCUAUUGCUUUUUUUAUAUUGGAAGGUAAGGAGAGUACUGCAUGAAUAAUCGCCUGCUAAUUCCAAAGUAGCAACCGAGGAACUACGGACGACCCCCGGGUUACGCGGAAGCACUGUUCGUAGGGUGUUAGUAGCCAUCUGAAUUACUGUGAAGUGAGCGUAUGCAGUUUGUUAUGUAAAUGCUAAGGGCCUGCGCUCGGGAUUUCACUUAGAAAAAGUAUUUGUAAGUGACGGAGUAGGGGUGUUUGAGUGUGGGGGCAGAAAUUUCCCGAGCAUCGAGAAAAAGCCCCAUAUCGCUGUGGGAAUCCCCCGCCCCAAACCGACCCCCUCUGGCCAAAACCUGGAGAGUUAGAAGCGAAAACAGGUGGUAUAAACGAUCCCAUACCCUGGUAGCCCCCCCCGUGAUGAUAUCACUAGGGAGUCUGGCCCCGACCCGUGCCCCCCCUGGUGAAGCGCCA